CCAAUGGCACUGCCCGGUAGCUAAAUGCGGAAGAGAUAAGUGCUGAAAGCAUCUAAGCACGAAACUUGCCCCGAGAUGAGUUCUCCCUGAGACUUUAAGUCUCCUGAAGGAACGUUGAAGACGACGACGUUGAUAGGCCGGGUGUGUAAGCGCAGCGAUGCGUUGAGCUAACCGGUACUAAUGAACCGUGAGGCUUAACCUU
rnacentral:rRNA from 1 species